GACGAACGCUGGCGGCGUGCUUAACACAUGCAAGUCGAACGAAAAUACCAAGCUUGCUUGGUUGAUUAGUGGCGAACGGGUGAGUAACACGUGAGUAACCUGCCCCUUACUUUCUGGAUAACUGCUCGAAAGGGUAGCUAAUACGGGAUAUUCUGGCCUUCCUGCAUGGGUUGGUUUGGAAAGAUUUUUUCUGGUGAGGGAUGGGCUCGCGGCCUAUCAGCUUGUUGGUGGGGUGAUGGCCUACCAAGGCUUUGACGGGUAGCCGGCCUGAGAGGGUGGACGGUCACACUGGGACUGAGAUACGGCCCAGACUCCUACGGGAGGCAGCAGUGGGGAAUAUUGCACAAUGGGCGCAAGCCUGAUGCAGCGACGCCGCGUGAGGGAUGAAGGCCUUCGGGUUGUAAACCUCUUUCGUCAGGGAACAAGGCACUGCUUUUGGUGGUGUUGAGGGUACCUGGAUAAGAAGCGCCGGCUAACUACGUGCCAGCAGCCGCGGUAAUACGUAGGGCGCAAGCGUUGUCCGGAAUUAUUGGGCGUAAAGAGCUCGUAGGCGGCUGGUCGCGUCUGUCGUGAAAACUUCCGGCUCAACCGGGGGCUUGCGGUGGGUACGGGCCGGCUAGAGUGCGGUAGGGGUAACUGGAACUCCUGGUGUAGCGGUGGAAUGCGCAGAUAUCAGGAAGAACACCGAUGGCGAAGGCAGGUUACUGGGUCCGUUACUGACGCUGAGGAGCGAAAGCGUGGGGAGCGAACAGG
rnacentral:rRNA from 1 species